rnacentral:lncRNA from 1 species
GUCAACUAUUAUAAAUUAAUUUGUUAAACCAUGUUGCUAUCAUCAAUCAACAAGAGAUGAACUCCUGAACUUGUUCAUGGACUGACUUAGAUCUACACAUGCCAUUACACUCAACAAUUCGAACUUAGUACAAUGUAUGUUAAAUAACCUUUGGAAAAGUUUCAAAUAAUUACAACUACUAGGUCUAAUAAAUUUUUAAACCACACAUGGAUGAAUUAAACUAACUUGACGUUUAAACAAUCCGAAUACACUAGCAUCAGCAUCAACAGUAUUUAAUCAAGACUGAAAAGAAGUUACAAAUUCAAAUGAAGAAGAACAAUAGAAAACAUCUAGCUAAGUAUAAAUCAGGAGUCAAAAUCCCGAAUCAACAUGUUACAAUUCCAUCUUCUCACUCUCAUGAACAUACCUGGAUAUCGCAAAAGAGAAUGAAAUAAGAAUUUCAAGCUAAAUAUGAGUAUAGAUCAGCAGUUAGUCAACAUCAAUAGUAGCUUCAAUUUAAUCCAUAAUCAAGCCCAGAAAACUAGAGAUCCAGAGAAUAUUUUUCUAAAGUCUUGCUAAAGAAAAUCAGAAGAAAAUAAAAAUCAGCUCUCAAUGGAACAAUACAUAACUUUUUGAGCCUUUUUAGGUUCGAAAAUCUUUGCUUAAUCAGUCAAGAAGGGCUCUAUUUUAUAAGCAUCUAAAAUGCCAUCCGUUGAAACGGAAAUCAGGGAAUUGUUCUGUUCAACCACAAAAGCAUUUUCUAACAAACUUGGACAGUUGGUUGUCCCGCAUUGGUUUCAGUAUUUUGUGCUAAACAAAUGAGGCCAGCUGCCAUAUUCUAGAACCUUCCCACGUGGUUUUAUCCCAUUUUAUACUUACCCACCCUUCAAACAAACCUCUUAAGUUUUCUUUAUUAUUCAAUUAACCCCUCACAAGUUCUUAAUGACGUACAAACUGUGGCAAACAGAAACAAACAUGCAAAUAUCAGUAAAUGAAUCAAACAACAAACAACAAAGCCAAAAGUGUGAACGUCUGAAAACUUAAAAUAAACUUAACCUCUAAAAUGAACCAAAUUCAUAAUGAAUCCCACAAUGAUUCCUCAGAAAUGACCAUGUGUGAUGACUAUCAUGGGCAGUCGAGUUAAACAACAAACGUGAAAUAAAGCUAACCUUAGGCUAACUAGGCAUUAAUUAAACCAAAUUAUUUAAAAGUGAAACUAAUUAGGCAAUUUUAAGCAUACUAACAAAUCAAAACAACAACGAUACCUAAAAAUACAAAAAUAAACUAAACUAAUUUAAAAGUUAAGUAAUUAAACAAAUCACCAUACUAAAUUAACAAA